GCAGCUCCACAUAGUGGAAGAGGAUGAAGAUGAGCUGGGAUGCAGGUGGACAAACACAUACAGGCCAUCGCUGUAACAUCAGCCGCUCUUCACCUGAGAGCUACGCGAAGGAAGGACCAGAAAUGGACUGCAGGGAAGCACAGAAGAAGGAGCAACGAACACCGGGAGAUAAACGGUGACGCCUGCAUUGACUUAAUUAGCAGCACCAGGCUUGUCUUUUUGGCCCAUCGACACUAAACAGUCCCUGGAAGGGGGUUUCCUCUUGUGCGAGCCUUCCCAAGGUUUCUUCCAGACGCUCCCGUUAAAGGGGUCAGUUUGGGAGUUUUUCCUUGCCCGCUUGAGGGAGGUGUCGUAAUCACGUGGGCUUGAGAUUAAUAUUACUUGAUAGUUUCCGGCCUGGUGUUUUAACAGCAUUUAAUUUUACCUGUUACCACACAGCUCAUAAAUAAGAUAGAAGACUGUAGUGUAUAAUCUAGUUCAGGGCAGCACGGUGGUGCAGUGGUUAGCGCAGUCACCUCACAGCAAGGCCAGGGUCUUCCUGUGAAGGCCCGGGACUUCCUGUGAGGAGUUUGCAUGUUCUCCCCGUGUCUGCGUGGGUUUCCUCUGGGUUCCCAAGCUUCCUCCCACAGUCCAAAGACAUGCAGGUUAAUUGGUGACUCUAAAUUGCCCCUUGAACAACCAUGCAACAGAUAGGUGGUGACAGAUAAUGCAUUAUUGUAAAGUAUAGCGUGCAGGCGUUACUUUUAGACAUAUUCAUAAUUCAUAAUUUCUGAUAAAUCUGACAACAAAUUAAAAAGAAAUGAUUAAAAUGGAUGUAAGACUGUCAGUUUCAGGAAUGUUCUGCAUUUUAAGUAGUAAAAUAAGAAGUGUUGUCCCAAUGAUUGCAAAGAGGUUUUAUUCUUGAACAAAGUGUCUAAUGUGUGAAACACUCACCUGAAGCUGAACCUGUAGAUGGCUUCCAGAGCUGUGCAUCAACAACGCAGCUUAACAUCCAUCGACUUCAGGUUUAAUUAGCAUGAGUAAUACAGGCUUUUCAGCCUUUUCACAAUAAAUUUACUUCAAAAUGGA